GUGCUAGCUUCAGCAGCAGAUAUACUAAAAGUGCAAUGAUACAGAGGAGUUUAGCAUGGCCCCUGCGCAAGGAUGACAUCGUGAAGCGUUCUUAAUUUUU
rnacentral:snRNA from 1 species